rnacentral:rRNA from 1 species
UGAGGAAUAUUGGUCAAUGGACGCAAGUCUGAACCAGCCAAGUAGCGUGCAGGAUGACGGCCCUAUGGGUUGUAAACUGCUUUUAUAUGGGGAUAAAGUGGGGAACGUGUUCCCUUUUGCAGGUACCAUAUGAAUAAGGACCGGCUAAUUCCGUGCCAGCAGCCGCGGUAAUACGGAAGGUUCGGGCGUUCUCCGGAUUUAUUGGGUUUAAAGGGAGCGUAGGCCGUUUGGUAAGCGUGUUGUGAAAUGUAGGAGCUCAACUUCUAGAUUGCAGCGCGAACUGUCAGACUUGAGUGCGCACAACGUAGGCGGAAUUCAUGGUGUAGCGGUGAAAUGCUUAGAUAUCAUGAAGAACUCCGAUUGCGAAGGCAGCUUACGGGAGCGCAACUGACGCUGAAGCUCGAAGGUGCGGGUAUCGAACAGG